CCAUUCUUCCACCCACCCAGCCCCCGCCUGUCACGUAGCUCCCCCCAUUCCACCCUAUCCCGGUAAAACCAGGACCGACGGUGGGCCCGGUGCUCCGAGGGCACCCGGUUAACCCGGCCGGACGCGCCAGCCCUCCGCCAAGCUCCCCCGCCCAUCCGCUCCAGGCCGCGUCCGAAAGGAGUGGCGAGGGUACAGAGGCCGAGGACACGGCACAGAGCGGGCGAGCAAGAGAGAUGGAGAGACUGCCACUCAGAGAAGUUAAGUACUUUGUCCAAGGGCACACAGCAGUGUGGUGGAACUAGAACUGAAAUCCACAUCUAUCUGACCCCAAAAAACCAGGGCUCCUUGGAGAAAUGACUGAUUCUAGGACUGGGGCAGAACAUGUACAAGAUGAGCCUGGAGCAUCUUGUAGUGCCAGAAAGUAAAGGAGUGCUCACAACACAAAAAGCAGAAAAACCCUGCUGUGACGGAGCUGCGUCAAAGAGCCAUGGGAACCAACUGAAAGAACUCCCAAUGGGUAA